rnacentral:rRNA from 1 species
CCUACGGGAGGCAGCAGUGGGGAAUAUUGGACAAUGGGCGAAAGCCUGAUCCAGCAAUACCGAGUGGGUGACGAAGGCCUUAGGGUUGUAAAGCCCUUUCAGCAGGGAAGCGGUACCUGAUCAAAAAGCCCCGGCUAACUCCGUGCCAGCAGCCGCGGUAAGACGGAGGGGGCUAGCGUUGUUCGGAAUUACUGGGCGUAAAGAGUGCGUAGGCGGUUUAGUAAGUUGGAAGUGAAAGCCCGAGGCUUAACCUCGGAACUGCUUUCAAAACUACUAAUCUAGAGUGUAGUAUGGGAUGAUGGAAUUCCUAGUGUAGAGGUGAAAUUCUUAGAUAUUAGGAGGAACACCGGUGGCGAAGGCGGUCAUCUACUACAACUGACGCUGAUGCACGAAAGCGUGGGGAGCAAACAGGAUUAGAUACCCUUGUAGUC